rnacentral:pre_miRNA from 1 species
GGUCUUAGGCCCUGAUCCAAAGCCCAUUGAAAUCUGUGGCAAUUUUUCCAUUGAUGUCAAUGGGCUUUGGAUCAGGUCCUUUAGUU